GAGGGCAUAGCUCAGUGGUAGAGCACACGCUUAGCAUGCACGAGGUCCUGGGUUCAAUCCCCAGUCCCUCCA
rnacentral:tRNA from 1 species